AUUGAACGCUGGCGGAAUGCUUUACACAUGCAAGUCGAACGGCAGCACGGACUUCGGUCUGGUGGCGAGUGGCGAACGGGUGAGUAAUGUAUCGGAACGUGCCCAGUCGUGGGGGAUAACGUAGUGAAAAUUACGCUAAUACCGCAUACGAUCUAUGGAUGAAAGCGGGGGAUCGCAAGACCUCGCGCGAUUGGAGCGGCCGAUAUCAGAUUGGGUAGUUGGUGGGGUAAAGGCCCACCAAGCCAACGAUCUGUAGCUGGUCUGAGAGGACGACCAGCAACACUGGAACUGAGACACGGUCCAGACUCCUACGGGAGGCAGCAGUGGGGAAUUUUGGACAAUGGGCGAAAGCCUGAUCCAGCCAUUCCGCGUGCAGGAUGAAGGCCCUCGGGUUGUAAACUGCUUUUGUACAGAACGAAAAGGUUUCUACUAAUACUAGGAGCUCAUGACGGUACUGUAAGAAUAAGCACCGGCUAACUACGUGCCAGCAGCCGCCGUAA
rnacentral:rRNA from 1 species